rnacentral:siRNA from 1 species
UUGAAAUAAUUUCAUCUGCCU